rnacentral:rRNA from 1 species
GACGAACGCUGGCGGCGUGCCUAAUACAUGCAAGUCGAACGCUUCUUUUUCCACCGGAGCUUGCUCCACCGGAAAAAGAGGAGUGGCGAACGGGUGAGUAACACGUGGGUAACCUGCCCAUCAGAAGGGGAUAACACUUGGAAACAGGUGCUAAUACCGUAUAACAAUCGAAACCGCAUGGUUUUGAUUUGAAAGGCGCUUUCGGGUGUCGCUGAUGGAUGGACCCGCGGUGCGUUAGCUAGUUGGUGAGGUAACGGCUCACCAAGGCGACGAUGCAUAGCCGACCUGAGAGGGUGAGCGGCCACAUUGGGACUGAGACACGGCCCAAACUCCCACGGGAGGCAGCAGUAGGGAAUCUUCGGCAAUGGACGAAAGUCUGACCGAGCAACGCCGCGUGAAUGAAGAAGGUUUUCGGAUCGUAAAACUCUGUUGUUAGAGAAGAACAAGGAUGAGAGUAACUGUUCAUCCCUUGACGGUAUCUAACCAGAAAGCCACGGCUAACUACGUGCCAGCCGCCGCAGUAA